GGAGGUAUAGCUCAGUGGUAAAGCGCAUGAGGUCCUGGGUUCAAUCCUCAGUGCCUCUG
rnacentral:tRNA from 1 species